AUUGAGCGCUGGCGGCAUGCUUUACACAUGCAAGUCGAACGGCAGCACGGGCUUCGGCCUGGUGGCGAGUGGCGAACGGGUGAGUAAUAUAUCGGAACGUACCCAGAAGUGGGGGAUAACGUAGCGAAAGUUACGCUAAUACCGCAUACGAUCUAUGGAUUAAAGCAGGGGACCGCAAGGCCUUGUGCUCCUGGAGCGGCCGAUAUCUGAUUAGCUAGUUGGUGAGGUAAAGGCUCACCAAGGCGACGAUCAGUAGCUGGUCUGAGAGGACGACCAGCCACACUGGAACUGAGACACGGUCCAGACUCCUACGGGAGGCAGCAGUGGGGAAUUUUGGACAAUGGGCGCAAGCCUGAUCCAGCAAUGCCGCGUGAGUGAAGAAGGCCUUCGGGUUGUAAAGCUCUUUUGUCAGGGAAGAAACGGUAGAGGCUAAUAUCCUUUGCUAAUGACGGUACCUGAAGAAUAAGCACCGGCUAACUACGUG
rnacentral:rRNA from 1 species